UACGUAGGGAGCAAGCGUUGUCCGGAAUCAUUGGGCGUAAAGCGCGCGUAGGUGGCUUCGUAAGUCCGUUGUGAAAGUCAAAGGCUCAACCUUUGAAAGCCGAUGGAUACUGUGAAGCUAGAGUACGGAAGAGGCGAGUGGAAUUCCUGGUGUAGCGGUGGAAUGCGCAGAUAUCAGGAGGAACACCAAUGGCGAAGGCAGAUCUCUGGGCCGUAACUGACGCUGAGGAGCGAAAGCAUGGGGAGCGAACAGG
rnacentral:rRNA from 1 species